rnacentral:rRNA from 1 species
UACAGAGGGUGCGAGCGUUGUCCGGAAUCACUGGGCGUAAAGGGCGCGUAGGUGGCGACCCAAGUCGAUGGUGAAAGCUCGCCGCUCGACGGCGAGUCGGCCACCGAUACUGGGUUGCUGGAGCACUGUAGAGGCAGAUGGAAUUCCGGGUGUAGCGGUGGAAUGCGUAGAGAGUCCGGAAGAACGACCGGUGGCGAAGGCGGUCUGCUGGGCAGUUGCUGGACGCUGAGGCGCGACAGCGUGGGGGAGCAAACAGG